CAAUAGCGUAUAUUAAAGUUGUUGCGGUAAAAAAGCUCGUAGUUGGAUUUCUACCGAAGAUAGCCGGUCGGGUCUUCGACCUUGUAUCUGGUUUUGUCUUUGGUAUCCUCAUAGGGAACGUUUCUGCGCUUUAUUGCGUGGUGCGGUAUCUAUGACUUUUACUUUGAGGAAAUUAGAGUGUUCACGGCAGGCAAACGCCUUGAAUAUAUUAGCAUGGAAUAAUAACAUAGGAUCUUCGUCCUAUUUUGUUGGUUUCUAGGGCUAAGAUAAUGACUAAUAGGGAUAAUUGGGGGCAUCUGUAUCAACGCGUCAGAGGUGGAAUUCUUGGAUUGCGUUGCGACAAACUACUGCGAAAGCAUUUGCCAAGGAUGUUUUCAUUGA
rnacentral:rRNA from 1 species